CCUACGGGUGGCUGCAGUGGGGAAUAUUGGACAAUGGGCGAAAGCCUGAUCCAGCAACGCCGCGUGGAGGACGAAGGUCUUCGGAUCGUAAACUCCUGUCAGAUGGGACGAACGGACGUCGGUAAAUAAUCGAUGUCCUUGACGGUACCGUCAGAGGAAGCCCCGGCUAACUCCGUGCCAGCAGCCGCGGUAAUACGGAGGGGGCAAGCGUUAUUCGGAAUUAUUGGGCGUAAAGGGCGCGUAGGUGGCCCGGUAAGUCAAAGGUGAAAUCCCUCGGCUCAACCGAGGAAUUGCCCUUGAAACUGCUGGGCUUGAGGCCGGGAGGGGGUAGCGGAAUUCCCAGUGUAGCGGUGAAAUGCGUAGAUACUGGGAGGAACACCGGUGGCGAAGGCGGCUACCUGGACCGGUUCUGACACUGAUGCGCGAAAGCGUGGGUAGCAAACAGGAUUAGAUACCCCUGUAGUC
rnacentral:rRNA from 1 species